AUGCAAUUAUAAGCGAAACUGCGAAUGGCUCAUUAUAUAAGUUAUCGUUUAUUUGAUAGUACCUUACUACUUGGAUAACCGUGGUAAUUCUAGAGCUAAUACAUGCUAAAAAUCCCGACUUCGGAAGGGAUGUAUUUAUUAGAUUAAAAACCAAUGCCCUCUGGGCUCCUUGGUGAUUCAUGAUAACUCUUCGAAUCGCACGGCCUUGCGCCGGCGAUGGUUCAUUCAAAUUUCUUCCCUAUCAACUUUCGAUGUUUGGGUAUUGGCCAAACAUGGUUGCAACGGGUAACGGAGGGUUAGGGCUCGACCCCGGAGAAGGAGCCUGAGAAACGGCUACUACAUCCAAGGAAGGCAGCAGGCGCGCAAAUUACCCAAUCCCGAUUCGGGGAGGUAGUGACAAUAAAUACUGAUACAGGGCUCUUUUGGGUCUUGUAAUUGGAAUGAGUACAAUUUAAAUCUCUUAACGAGGAACAAUUGGAGGGCAAGUCUGGUGCCAGCAGCCGCGGUAAUUCCAGCUCCAAUAGCGUAUAUUAAAGUUGUUGUGGUUAAAAAGCUCGUAGUUGAACCUUGGGCCUGGCUGGCCGGUCCGCCUCACCGCGUGCACUGGUCCGGCCGGGCCUUUCCCUCUGUGGAACCCCAUGCCCUUCACUGGGCGUGGCGGGGAAACAGGACGUUUACUUUGAAAAAAUUAGAGUGCUCCAGGCAGGCCUAUGCUCGAAUACAUUAGCAUGGAAUAAUGAAAUAGGACGCGUGGUUCUAUUUUGUUGGUUUCUAGGACCGCCGUAAUGAUUAAUAGGGACAGUCGGGGGCAUCAGUAUUCAAUUGUCAGAGGUGAAAUUCUUGGAUUUAUUGAAGACUAACUACUGCGAAAGCAUUUGCCAAGGAUGUUUUCAUUAAUCAGGAACGAAAGUUAGGGGAUCGAAGACGAUCAGAUACCGUCGUAGUCUUAACCAUAAACU
rnacentral:rRNA from 1 species